UACGUAGGGUGCAAGCGUUAAUCGGAAUUACUGGGCGUAAAGCGUGCGCAGGCGGCUUUGCAAGACAGAUGUGAAAUCCCCGGGCUUAACCUGGGAACUGCAUUUGUGACUGCAUGGCUGGAGUGCGGCAGAGGGGGAUGGAAUUCCGCGUGUAGCAGUGAAAUGCGUAGAUAUGCGGAGGAACACCGAUGGCGAAGGCGGUUUACUGGUCUCCAACUGACACUGAGCCGCGAAAGCAUGGGUAGCGAACGGG
rnacentral:rRNA from 1 species